rnacentral:rRNA from 1 species
UACGUAGGUGGCAAGCGUUGUUCGGAAUUAUUGGGCGUAAAGAGCUCGUAGGCGGUUUGUCGCGUCUGCUGUGAAAACUCGGGGCUUAACUCCGGGCCUGCAGUGGGUACGGGCAGACUAGAGUGCGGUAGGGGAGACUGGAAUUCCUGGUGUAGCGGUGAAAUGCGCAGAUAUCAGGAGGAACACCGGUGGCGAAGGCGGGUCUCUGGGCCGUAACUGACGCUGAGGAGCGAAAGCGUGGGGAGCGAACAGG